GACAGAGGGGGCAGGCGUUGCUCGGAAUUACUGGGCGUAAAGGGCGCGUAGGCGGGAUGGCAAGUCGGUCGUGAAAUCCUUCGGCUCAACCGAAGAACGUCGAUCGAUACUGCUGUUCUUGAGGGUUGCAGAGGAGACUGGAAUUCCCGGUGUAGCGGUGAAAUGUGUAGAGAUCGGGAGGAACACCGGUGGCGAAGGCGGGUCUCUGGGCAAUUCCUGACGCUGAGGCGCGAAAGCGUGGGGAGCAAACGGG
rnacentral:rRNA from 1 species